rnacentral:rRNA from 1 species
CCUACGGGAGGCUGCAGUGGGGAAUAUUGGGCAAUGGGCGCAAGCCUGACCCAGCCAUGCCGCGUGGAGGAUGAAGGCCUUCGGGUCGUAAACUCCUUUUCUGAGGGAAGAAUAGCCUGUGCAGGAAAUGGUAUGGGUAUGACGGUACCUCAGGAAUAAGCAACGGCCAACUCCGUGCCAGCAGCCGCGGUAAUACGGAGGUUGCAAGCGUUGUUCGGAAUUACUGGGCGUAAAGGGAGCGCAGGCGGCCAAGUCAGUCUGAAGUGAAAUCCCGGGGCUUAACCUCGGAAGUGCUUUGGAUACUACUUGGCUAGAGUACGUGAGAGGUGAGCGGAAUUCCAGGUGUAGCGGUGAAAUGCGUAGAUAUCUGGAGGAACACCCGUGGCGAAAGCGGCUCACUGGCGCGUAACUGACGCUGAGGCUCGAAAGCGUGGGGAGCAAACGGGAUUAGAUACCCCGGUAGUC